rnacentral:rRNA from 1 species
CCUACGGGAGGCAGCAGUGGGGAAUUUUCCGCAAUGGGCGAAAGCCUGACGGAGCAACGCCGCGUGAGGGAUGAAGGCCUCUGGGCUGUAAACCUCUUUUAUCAAGGAAGAAGAUCUGACGGUACUUGAUGAAUAAGCCACGGCUAAUUCCGUGCCAGCAGCCGCGGUAAUACGGGAGUGGCAAGCGUUAUCCGGAAUUAUUGGGCGUAAAGCGUCCGCAGGCGGUCUUUUAAGUCUGUCGUCAAAGCGUGGAGCUUAACUCCAUUUCUGCGAUGGAAAC